GAACGCACCUUGCACCCUUUGGCAUUCCGAAGGGUAUGCUCGUUUGAGUGUCAUUGUACUCUCACACUCCCAAUGCUUUUGGAUUGGGAGCGGUGGACUUGGGUGUUGCUGCUUUACAGUGGCUCGCCUCAAAUGGAGUAGUGCAACUCUCGGUUGGACAUAGUACGGCGUGAUAAGUGUCUUCGCCGGCGCCUCACUAGAGGGUGGCUGAUCAGGAGCUCUGUGCUUCAAAUCGUCUUCGGACAAUCUUUGACAACUUGACCUCAAAUCGAGUAGGACUACCCGCUGAACUUA
rnacentral:misc_RNA from 1 species